UGGGGAAUAUUGCACAAUGGGCGAAAGCCUGAUGCAGCAACGCCGCGUGAGUGAUGAAGGCCUUCGGGUUGUAAAGCUCUGUCUUUUGGGACGAUAAUGACGGUACCAAAGGAGGAAGCCACGGCUAACUACGUGCCAGCAGCCGCGGUAAUACGUAGGUGGCAAGCGUUGUCCGGAUUUACUGGGCGUAAAGGAUGCGUAGGCGGAUUUUUAAGUGAGAUGUGAAAACCCUAAGCUUAACUUGGGGACUGCAUUUCAUACUGGAAAUCUAGAGUGCGGGAGAGGAGAGUGGAAUUCCUAGUGUAGCGGUGAAAUGCGUAGAGAUUAGGAAGAACACCAGUGGCGAAGGCGAUUCUCUGGACCGUAACUGACGCUGAGGCAUGAAAGCGUGGGUAGCAAACAGGAUUAGAUACCCUGGUAGUCCACGCCGUAAACGAUGAGUACUAGGUGUAGGAGGUAUCGACCCCUUCUGUGCCGCAGUUAACACAAUAAGUACUCCGCCUGGGAAGUACGAUCGCAAGAUUAAAAACUCAAAUGAAUUGACGGGGUCAUAGCUGUUUCCU
rnacentral:rRNA from 1 species